CCCCGGCCCUUCCCGGGACCACCCGCCCAGCCCUGCGCCCCGCCGCGCCCCGGGCGCCCCAUUCCCGCCUCCCUAACGCGAGUUCGCCUGAGCGUCGACUUUUCCCGAACUCCCUUCCCGCCUCGCAAGGACCUUCCGUGCCCCCCGCCCCCGUCCCGCCGCUCAGACGCGGCUGCACGGGGGCGGGUAUAAAGGGCCGGGCGGCGCGGGCCGGGACCCGAGACGUGGCGCUGCCGGCCGCGGCUCCAGUGCUUGAAUUUCAGCCACGUCACUAAACUGCCAUCCCAGAGCAGAGGACCAGGAGGCAGCUGAAGAGGACAUUCCCUGGAACAGAUCAGGAUGUUGCUGUGGGCCCUGAGUGACCUUCAAGGGAAAUCUGGGUAUCUGUGGUCCUUAAGAUAUGGUAGAUUGUAUUAAAAUUGUGAAAAACAUCA